CUGUGACGGACCCUGAAACCUGACUAAAAUUUCUCCAUGAUUUUGUUUUUUUCUAAAAAAGACAAGAGCUCUUGGGCAUAGUCUCCUCUGAGGAUGGGAUUUCAAGCGCUUGAAAUCAUUCAUGGAGAAAUCAUGGUGUACACUCAGGACAGGCAGGUUUACUGACCAUCACAGUGUAGUCAGAAACAGCCUGUGCCACAUUCUCUGUACAGUGCAGAAGAUGAAGACACCUCCAGCCUGGACAGCAGACCCUCUACUGUUCAUGUCCGUUCUGUCACAGUCUUUGAAAGAAAUGUAAAGAUGGACAAAAAUUUGAAUAUUCACAAAUAUCAUAAAAGAGAUAGAGAGAGAGACCUAAUUAAAACGCAUGUCAUCACAAAAUCCCGCCCUCUGAAUGAACUCAAAUAACCCAAUCCUAUUUGAAAUGCAUGAAGUCAUCACUCCUCCUACUAAAUGAACUGGACAAAUCCCGUCCUCAUCCAAUGAGAUCCUUGUCUCAUCCAAUCAGAAGAAAUCCGAAAUCCCUGUUUCCCGCAUUCCUGUUGAAAAGAGUGCUGACGUGCUGACGUGCUACGGUAAGCGUAUUGUAUCAUUUCCGGUUGCCGACUGUGUAUACUGAUAGCGUUGUUGCUGCUCUCAUCUCAGUUGAUUUUCCUA